GAGCCAAACAUUCCCAGGUGUGCUGAGCUACUAAGAACCAGCCAAAGGAAAUUAAUUUCAAGAUUCCAGCCUGUCACUCACAACAAAAUCUCUCUGAAGUUCCUAGAAGAGAGAACAUGGUAAAAAAUUACAUGUGUGAGUCAAAUAAAACAAUCAUCGUAUCAGACUGCAAGACAUUGAGAAUACAAGGAAACACUUCUUGGGAGUUUGAAAAGAGCAUUCCAACACGGAGCCACUCUAACAGAAUCUCAGGAUGCCACCUUCACAAACGACAGAGUCUCGCUCUGUCCCCCAGCUGGGGUGCGGUGGUGUGAUCUCAGUUCACUGUAACCUCUGUCUCCUGAGUUCAAGCGAUUCUCCUGCCUCAGCCUCCUGAGUAGCUGGGAUUACAG